rnacentral:misc_RNA from 1 species
GUUUAAGCACUCAUGCUACAGACGUGAAAUUCCGUCAAAUACGAUCACACACUCGACGUUUAAAAUUAGUGGGAGCACAAAAUACGAGUGCUUGUAAACAAUUGAUGUGACGAAAAAAAGAUAAUUUAAUCAAGUAAACGAUUAUACAUACGUGUCAGACUGUAUUGUUUUGUAGUCACGAAGAGAAUAAUAUACUAGUGUUUCGCAAUCUGCAUAAGUUAGCUGACAUGAUCGUUUUUUCGUUGAUUGCCGCCGCUUUCAUGAACGGCGAUUGGUUAGCGGUGGUCGCGCACACUCAAAAGUAUCACGACGCGGAACCACCGAUGUCGUGCACGUCGUUCUUCGAAGAAUUUAAAACACAAUGCUUCUGGGCCAUGGCUGUCGGAUACGUGGAAGUACUACAUCAAGGGUCGCGGCAGGGAAGCCGAGUGGAAGUGCCAGCCGAAACGCCAUCUGCCCCGACACCUGGUGUGGGACCAGAUCAAAUGGGGUUGCAUCGGACUAAUGGCGACGAACGUGGUGUCCGCGGUGAUGGCCACGCACGUCACUUGCGGUGGUUACAGCCAGGUCUAUACGCGAUUCGGCCAGUACCCGUUGUGGUGGUGGGUAAUCCAGUGGCCGGUGAUAUUCGUCCAGCAGGAUUACGUUACGUACUGGAUCCAUCGGUCAUUCCAUUCCAGGUUCCUGUUCAAACACUUUCACAGCAUCCAUCACCGGUACUUUCAACCCACCCCAUGGUCAGUGACGGCGAUACAUCCGUUCGAGAUAAUUUUAGUACAAUUGUUCAUGGUUAUGCCCAUAUUCAUUUAUCCCGUACACUGGCUGCCGUUUUACGGCUUAGCACUGUACACAUACUAUCACGGUAUCGUUCAGCACUCAGGCAUCACUUUCAAAGCUCGCUGGUGGCAGCCUUGGCAACCGGACUGCAUGUUUCACGAUAACCACCAUCAGUACUGUCACGUCAACUACGGUUUUAAUUGCUACUUGUGGGACGAGAUUCACGGAUCCGUGAGAAAAACUGAUCGUUGUUAUAGCACGCACACGGACUCAUGGGGUUCCGGUCGACUGCUGACUGAGCUUUCGGACGAA